rnacentral:rRNA from 1 species
AACCUUUACACUGCACGACAGUGCGAUAAGGGAAUCCCAAGUGCGUAGGCAUAGAGCCUACGCUUUUGUCCACCGUAGGGAGGUGGACGAAUAAGGGCUGGGCAAGACCGGUGCCAGCCGCCGCGGUAACACCGGCAGCCCGAGUGAUGGCCGAUCUUAUUGGGCCUAAAGCGUCCGUAGCUGGCCGCGCAAGUCUAUCGGAAAAUCCACCCGCUCAACGGGUGGGCGUCCGGUAGAAACUGCGUGGCUUGGGACCGGAAGGCGCGACGGGUACGUCCGGGGUAGGAGUGAAAUCCCGUAAUCCUGGACGGACCGCCGAUGGCGAAAGCACGUCGCGAAGACGGAUCCGACAGUGAGGGACGAAAGCUAGGGUCUCGAACCGGAUUAGAUACCCGGGUAGUCCUAGCCGUAAACAAUGCCUGCUAGGUGUGGCUCCCACUACGAGUGGGUGCUGUGCCGUAGGGAAGCCGCUAAGCAGGCCGCCUGGGAAGUACGUCCGCAAGGAUGAAACUUAA